GCGGAGCACGGGGAUACACAGCAGAUGUGUCUUCCAUAAACCUGUUUGGGGUGGCUCUGCCUCAAGCGUCCGGAAGUUCUCUGAGACCAACAUCGCCACUCAGGACCUGGAAAGCAGACUAUAAAGUGGAAGAAAGGAAGGAAGGAAGGAAGGAAGAAGGAAAGAAAGUAGCAUAGUGACCAGACCUCAGGAUCUAACACGAGACAGCAGCCCAGUUUCACAGGCAUACUGGACUUGAAAUGAUCAAGGUCAUCUGAAAAUCCUUCCUAAGGAACGUUAAGUGUAAGGAAGAUCAUCUUUGGGAACUUUACGUCCUAGCUACACUUGUUUCAAGCAGUGUUUGCUGAAUGAGUGAAGAAGGAACGAAUGAAUAAUAACCAAUGAAGGAAGGACUGGCAACAGGAAGGGAAGCGUUGACUCACGUUUCAGCUACACAAAGUCAUUUCACAAAUGCUUUUCAAAAGCUUCUAAAGUGCUUUUUUGCUUCCUUAUAUGAUUAACUUUAAACUAAAGCAGAUAUUUUCCCUUGACCUAUUUUCAAAGCUAAUCUUUAAAUCCCUUGGUUACA